CCAUGUUUUCAUUUGCUGAUGGUUCUUGAUGUGCAAUCAUGCACAGCUGUGCCUUGUUUUGUAUAUGUUUAUGCUUAUUUUAGGCAUUAAAACCACAAGAGUCAUCAAGAUCAAUUUUUUAGUCAAUAAAUGAUCAUUAAAUGAUAAUUAUAUAGCAGUUCAUCUCAAGGGUUUAAUUGGAUUAUUGGAUUCUUUUUUGAGAUUAAAAAAUGCUAUCCUUC
rnacentral:lncRNA from 1 species